rnacentral:sRNA from 1 species
CGGGCUUGCCCUGCGGAGCAGUAGCCCGGAACAGAUCCACUUGCAGGUUGCUGUUCCCAGCCAUGGCUUCGCGCUGCUGGCGCUGGUGGGGCUGGUCGGCGAGGCCUCGGACCCGGCUGCCUCCCGCCGGGAGCACCCCAAGUAGGAGCAGGGCGCCUUUGGGGCUGGAUGGGAGCGCGGGGUGGCCUGCGAGCGCUGAGUAGGGGUCGGAGCAGAGCUGGGGCAGGGCUGGAGAAGGGUGAGACUGAAGGGGUGUCUUCCUGCUGGCGAGAUCCCGGUGGUGUACGGGGGUGGGCGGAGAUCUGUGCGUGAGAUGUGAGGCUUCUAGGGUUAGAGACGGAGGUCAACAAAGGUGAAAAGGAGAGACUUUGAGAUCCACAGGUGUGAGACGGGGUGAAUGGAGGAUGAUACGGAGGUCUAUGGGGCGAGAGGGAAGUCUGAGUCGAAACAGGGAUCUGUAGGAAUAAGACGGGUCUAUAUGGGCAAUAUAGCGUUUUGUGGAGAGAGAGAGGGGUUAGAGGAGGACACCGUGGGGAGACCCACGGGGGCGAGAUUGGGAUGAUAUGGAGGCCGUUGGAAGGAUGUGGGAUUCUAGCCGAUUGGAUAGGGAAUGAAGUGUUGUUGGGCAGGCCAUUGGCAGUGGUGUAGUAGGUUCAUGGGUGAGAUGUGAGGCUCUGGAUGAACCCACAGCCUUUGGGGGUUCAGAUGAAGUAAGAGACCCUGCAAAUGCCAAAGCCUUGAGGAACAAGAGAAGGAGGAUGCAGGCUUCCGCCACCAUUUCUCCACACAGGAGAAGACCCCCCAGAUCUGUGUGGUGGGCAGUGGCCCAGCUGGCUUCUACACUGCCCAACACCUGCUAAAGCAGCACCCCCAGGCCCACGUGGACAUCUACGAGAAACAGCCUGUGCCCUUUGGCCUGGUGCGCUUUGGCGUGGCGCCUGAUCACCCUGAGGUGAAGAAUGUCAUCAACACAUUUACCCAGACGGCCCACUCUGGCCGCUGUGCCUUCUGGGGCAACGUGGAGGUGGGCAGGGACGUGACGGUGCCGGAGCUGCGGGAGGCCUACCACGCCGUGGUGCUGAGCUACGGGGCAGAGGACCAUCGGGCCCUGGAAAUUCCUGGUGAGGAGCUGCCAGGUGUGUGCUCCGCCCGGGCCUUCGUGGGCUGGUACAACGGGCUUCCUGAGAACCAGGAGCUGGAGCCAGACCUGAGCUGUGACACAGCCGUGAUUCUGGGGCAGGGGAACGUGGCUCUGGACGUGGCCCGCAUCCUACUGACCCCACCUGAGCACCUGGAGAGAACGGACAUCACAAAGGCAGCCCUGGGUGUACUGAGGCAGAGUCGAGUGAAGACAGUGUGGCUAGUGGGCCGGCGUGGACCCCUGCAAGUGGCCUUCACCAUUAAGGAGCUUCGGGAGAUGAUUCAGUUACCGGGAGCCCGGCCCAUUUUGGAUCCUGUGGAUUUCUUGGGUCUCCAGGACAAGAUCAAGGAGGUCCCCCGCCCGAGGAAGCGGCUGACGGAACUGCUGCUUCGAACAGCCACAGAGAAGCCAGGGCCGGAGGAAGCUGCCCGCCAGGCAUCGGCCUCCCGUGCCUGGGGCCUCCGCUUUUUCCGAAGCCCCCAGCAGGUGCUGCCCUCACCAGAUGGGCGGCGGGCAGCAGGUGUCCGCCUAGCAGUCACUAGACUGGAGGUGAGUCUCAUGUUUCCCAAAGACACCCCCUUCCCAGGCCUCUGCCACCCGCCUGGUGUUGCCCACACUCUCCCCAACAGGGUGUCGAUGAGGCCACCCGUGCAGUGCCCACGGGAGACAUGGAAGACCUCCCUUGUGGGCUGGUGCUCAGCAGCAUUGGGUAUAAGAGCCGCCCUGUCGACCCAAGCGUGCCCUUUGACUCCAAGCUUGGGGUCAUCCCCAAUGUGGAGGGCCGGGUUAUGGAUGUGCCAGGCCUCUACUGCAGCGGCUGGGUGAAGAGAGGACCUACAGGUGUCAUAGCCACAACCAUGACUGACAGCUUCCUCACCGGCCAGAUGCUGCUGCAGGACCUGAAGGCUGGGUUGCUCCCCUCUGGCCCCAGGCCUGGCUACGCAGCCAUCCAGGCCCUGCUCAGCAGCCGAGGGGUCCGGCCAGUCUCUUUCUCAGACUGGGAGAAGCUGGAUGCUGAGGAGGUGGUCCGGGGCCAGGGCACGGGGAAGCCCAGGGAGAAGCUGGUGGAUCCUCAGGAGAUGCUGCGCCUCCUGGGCCACUGAGCCCAGCCCCAGCCCCGGCCCCCAGCAGGGAAGGGAUGAAUGUUGGGAGGGGAAGGGCUGGGUCCGUCUGAGUGGGACUUUGCACCUCUGCUGAUCCCGGCCGGCCCUGGCUUGGAGGCUUGGCUGCUCUUCCAGCGUCUCUCCUCCCUCCUGGGGAAGGUCGCCCUUGCGCGCAAGGUUUUAGCUUUCAGCAACUGAGGUAACCUUAGGGACAGGUGGAGGUGUGGGCCGAUCUAACCCCUUACCCAUCUCUCUACUGCUGGACUGUGGAGGGUCACCAGGUUGGGAACAUGCUGGAAAUAAAACAGCUGCAACCAA